rnacentral:lncRNA from 1 species
GCUUGUAACACAAAGGGUGAAUGCUUGAGAUGAUGGAAAAAAUAAAUAUUUGGGCUGUUUGUAUAUUUGUUGAUACUAAUUACUAGUUUAGUAAUCUCUUGCUCUGUUGUAGUCCCAACUCUAAAAGCUUCAAUUAUUUUGAAAUGCUGUACUAAAAUUCCAUGUAUUGACAUAGAUUUCUUGAGAUUUGGCCUGUUCUAUUUCUUAUUUUUCUUUCAUAACACUAAGUUGACUGAUUGAUCAUUAAGUUGUGCUUUGGCAGAGGCCCGAUGAUAGUGUUUUCACUACAAUCC